rnacentral:lncRNA from 1 species
GAAAGAACUCACACUGGAGAGAAACUCUAUGAAUGCAAGCAGUGUGGGAAAGCGUUAUCUCAUAGCUCAAGCUUUCGAAGACACAUGACAAUGCACACUGGAGAUGGACCUCACAAAUGCAAGCAGUGUGGGAAAGCGUUAUCUCAUAGCUCAAGCUUUCGAAGACAUAUGGUAAUGCAUACGGGAGAUGGGCCGAAUAAAUGCAAGGUAUGUGGGAAAGCCUUUGUUUAUCCUAGUGUAUGUCAAAGACAUGAAAAGACUCACUGGAGAGAAACAAUAUGAAUGUAAACUAUUAUAAAGCCUUCUAUAUUUCCAGUUCCCUUUGAUAUCAUGAAUAAACUUACACUGGAC